UAUAUAUAUAUAAACCGAAAUUGUUCUGGUGUUUGUCUGUCCACUUCAGUGUACAGACAAGCACCAGAACAAUUUCGGUGAAUAUUAUUAU
rnacentral:pre_miRNA from 14 species